rnacentral:rRNA from 1 species
GACGUAGGAUGCAAGCGUUGUCCGGAAUUAUUGGGCGUAAAGAGUUCGUAGGUGGUAUGUCAAGUCUGGUGUUAAAUCCCGAAGCUCAACUUCGGAUCGGCACUGGAUACUGACAAACUAGAGUGCAGUAGAGGCAAGGGGAAUUCCUAGUGUAGCGGUGAAAUGCGUAGAUAUUAGGAGGAACACCGGUGGCGUAAGCGCCUUGCUGGGCUGUAACUGACGCUGAGGAACGAAAGCCAGGGGAGCAAAUGGG